CAGGAGCAAAUACCAUCUACAGCUAUGACUCUUCAGUUGCUACACAUGAGAACAAAAUGGUGCAAAGCCUACGGAUGAAAUGCAGCUCCAUAAAGACAAGCCAAGGUGUUUCAAGACAGCUAAUGAACAUUUCAGUAUUUGCACUUAGUCAGAUAAAGCGAUGUUUUCCAGUUGAGCAAGGAGACAGCAAUCAUUGCAGCUGAUGAGACAUUUAAAAGAAACGGCUAACAUCUUACUGCUCACAGACAGUGAUAUCAACACGACCACUAGGAAUUCAUAACACCUAUGGAAAGAAGUGUUGCAUGUAAGCAAUGAGAUAUGAGAGAAUAUUUUGAAAGAAUGCCUCUUACAUCACCCAGUCAAGCUUCUGAAAGGAUUAUUCAUUAUAAACCACACUGGCUCGAUAAUGAAUUCUGAUAGAACACAUGAUGUUAAUUCAGCCAUUCCUCUCUCUUUCA